CGCCUCUUGACAAACAUAAGAGGUCCAGCCUGCCCAGUGACAAAGUUCAACGGCCGCGGUACCCUAACCGUGCGAAGGUAGCAUAAUCACUUGUUCUCUAAAUAAGGACUUGUAUCAACGGCACUACGAGGGUUAUACUGUCUCCUUUUUCCAAUCAGUGAAACUGAUCUCCCCGUGAAGAAGCGGGGAUCAAAAUAUAAGGCGAGAAGACCCCAUGGAGCUUUAAACUCACUGUACACCUCUAUGUUCCUAUAUCCUUAUAACACAAGAAACCUGUACAUUAGUUUUAGGUUGGGGGGACCACGGAGUACAACUUAACCUCCAUAACAAAUGGGCUAACACCCUUAUCCACGAGACACAACUCUAAGAAUUAAUAGACUAAUGCUUAUGACCCGAUAUUCGAUCAAUGAACCAAGUUACCCUGGGGAUAACAGCGCAAUCUACUUCAAGAGCUCAUAUCGACAAGUAGGUUUACGACCUCGAUGUUGGAUCAGGGUAUCCCGGUGGUGCAACCGCUACCAAU
rnacentral:rRNA from 1 species